ACUUGCUGUUCACCCUCUCCUGAAACACACCUUGCAGAGAGUGGAUCUGUUUGUUCUUUGCAUAUGAGAAUCAUUUUCUGCUCCUGUUGCACAUUGUGAGGUUAAGAUGCUCCUGAUCUUAAAAGUUGGGGGUUUUUUGUUUGGUUGGGGUUUUUUUGUUGUUUUUGUUUUGUUUUGGGUUUUUUUGUUUGUUUUUGUUUUUUGUUGGGUUUGGGUUUGUUUUUGUUGUUUUUUUCUGUUUUUUGUUUUUGCUUAGCUUUUUAUACACAAAUAUGAAGACCAUCUGGUUGUUCUUUGCAUAUGAGAAUCAUUUUCUGCUCCUGUUGCACAUUGUGAGGUUAAGAUGCUCCUGAUCUUAAAAGUUGGGGUUUUUUUUGUUUGGUUGGGGGUUCUUUGUUGUUUUUGUUUUGUUUUGGUUUUUUUGUUUGUUUUUGGUUUUUGUUGGGUUUGGGUUUGUUUUUGUUGUUUUUUCUGUUUUUUGUUUUUGCUUAGCUUUUUAUACACAAAUAUGAAGACCCAUCCUAAAGGUCAAAGAUCCUCUCUUCAGGGUAGAUCUCCCCUCCACCCGUUCUUGUAUCCUAUCAGAGUGCAUUGACAGAGAACUGAUUCUCU
rnacentral:lncRNA from 12 species